rfam:Schistosoma margrebowiei strain Zambia genome assembly, scaffold: SMRZ_contig0005713
AUCCAGCUGACGAAUCCCAAAUAGGAUGAAACGCGCAUACUAGAU